GACGAACGCUGGCGGCGUGCCUAAUACAUGCAAGUCGAGCGGAAGUUGGAGAGCUUGCUCUUCAACUUUAGCGGCGGACGGGUGAGUAACACGUGGGCAACCUGCCCUGCAGAUCGGGAUAACUCCGGGAAACCGGUGCUAAUACCGAAUAGUUUUCGCCACCUCCUGGUGGCGUACGGAAAGACGGUUUCGGCUGUCACUGCAGGAUGGGCCCGCGGUGCAUUAGCUAGUUGGUGGGGUAACGGCCCACCAAGGCGACGAUGCGUAGCCGACGUAAGGGGGUGAUCGCCCACCCUGGAACUGAGACACGGCCCAGACUCCUACGGGAGGCAGCAGUAGGGAAUCUUCCGCAAUGGACGAAAGUCUGACGGAGCAACGCCGCUUGAGUGACGAAGGUCUUCGGAUCGUAAAACUCUGUUGUGAGGGAAGAACAAGUACCAACUAACUACUGGUACCUUGACGGUACCUCACCAGAAAGCCACGGCUAACUACGUGCCAGCCGCCGCGGUAACAC
rnacentral:rRNA from 1 species